GACUCGCUAGCUCAACUGGCAGAGCAACUGACUCUUAAUCAGUAGGUUAUAGGUUCGAUUCCUAUGCGGGUCACCA
rnacentral:tRNA from 1 species